rnacentral:rRNA from 11 species
CGGAUAUCUUGGCUCUUGCAACGAUGAAGAACGCAGCGAAAUGCGAUACGUAGUGUGAAUUGCAGAAUUCCGCGAAUCAUCGAGUCUUUGAACGCAAGUUGCGCCCGAGGCUUGUCCGAGGGCAUUUCCGCUAGAGCGUCACCGCG